rnacentral:tRNA from 2 species
GGAGACGUGGCCGAGUGGUCGAAGGCGCUCCCCUGCUAAGGGAGUAAACCGCAAGGUUUCGUGGGUUCGAAUCCCAUCGUCUCCGCCA